CCUUACCAGGUCUUGACAUCCCUUGACAACUCCAGAGAUGGAGCGUUCCCUUCGGGGACAAGGUGACAGGUGGUGCAUGGUUGUCGUCAGCUCGUGUCGUGAGAUGUUGGGUUAAGUCCCGNAACGAGCGCAACCCUUUAUUACUAGUUGCCAGCAUUUAGUUGGGCACUCUAGUGAGACUGCCGGUGACAAACCGGAGGAAGGUGGGGAUGACGUCAAAUCAUCAUGCCCCUUAUGACCUGGGCUACACACGUGCUACAAUGGCGUAUACAACGAGUUGCCAACCCGCGAGGGUGAGCUAAUCUCUUAAAGUACGUCUCAGUUCGGAUUGUAGGCUGCAACUCGCCUACAUGAAGUCGGAAUCGCUAGUAAUCGCGGAUCAGCACGCCGCGGUGAAUACGUUCCCGGGUCUUGUACACACCGCCCGUCACACCAUGAGAGUUUGUAACACCCAAAGCCGGUGGGGUAACCUUUUAGGAGCCAGCCGUCUAAGGUGGGACAGAUGAUUAGGGUGAAGUCGUAACAAGGUAAGCGUAGCGAG
rnacentral:rRNA from 1 species